rnacentral:tRNA from 1 species
GCCGAGGUGGCGGAAUUGGUAGACGCGCUGGCUUCAGAUGCCAGUGUCCUUCUGGACGUGCUGGUUCGACUCCAGUCCUCGGCACCA